GGUUCGCUUUACCUCGGAGGGACCCCCUUCUAGGUGUGAAAGAUGCCACCCCGGCUCCUUGGGGUAUGGAAAGCAACAUAUAAAGGUUCGAAACUCAGGAAACCCCAGCGCUCGCCUGCACUAGCACAUACACACAGCCCCGCGCACACUCAGUUCGCGCCCGCCCUUCCUCCCUCCCUGAUUUGCUUCUGGGAAAACAAGCCUUGAGAGCUGCGGACUCGCCCCGAGUCACGGUGCUUAAGCAGGAGUCCCUGGUAGAAAGACUGAAAAAUCCCCUCCCCGCUCGAUGGUGGAUUCAUAUCCUGUGCGGCCUCUAGGAAGCGCUAGACACAUGCUUGCUUCAGAAAGUCACACAUCUUCCCAUGUCACCUGACAAUACAAGGGACUUCAAGGACAUACAGAAGAACAGAGUCCUUGGUCUCUGAAUGACCCUGUGGAAGGAUACUCACUGGCCAGAAGUAGUCCUUCCAGACUUUGAAUGACAAAUCAACUUCAUUGUGCUGGUCCACUGGGAUUUUGGAGUAAAGAUGGCAAUAUCUUCUAAUUCCACUUGGUGUUUAGGAUGCCCUUCAUAAGAAGAAACCCUGGGUCAAAGUUGAGGCUUAUGUUCUGGCUUUCCCAGCUUGAAAAGAAAGAAACUUGUAUACUGUCACCUUCCUAUUGAGGGUGCAAACUUCAUGAGUUGUGAUCCUAUCACCUGGCCCUUGAAAGAAGUCCUCUGGAAGAGCUGAGGCACAGAGAUGAUUUCCAGUGAAGCUCAAAGUCGUUCAUGGAGAUGUUAUUGGAUUGCGCUGGGGACCGCAGUUCCUUGAUAAUGAGUAAUUGUUUGCUCAAGCUUUAGCCAAGUGUAAAUAUAAAUAUAACCGGGAUGGUUUACCCGUCCAUUGCCAUCCAUGCACUACUGUACCGAGUGCUGUGGCUGACGUGAGAACUGAAUGCAUGGAGCUGCAAUGGUGGACUCCAGGCCUGCUUCGUCAUCGUCAGAUAUGUCAUUUAACAGCUGAGCCUCGCUUUCCUCACAUGAAAAAUGAUUGCGAUGAUUGAUAUUUACCUCAGAGAAUUUAAAUGGGACUGCCACCGUACCUAUGGGAAAGUCACUGCUGAACUGGUGACAUUUCUGUAUAUAUGUAUGUUAUUUAGUGUUUAUAUAUUUAUACGUGGAUUCCUGAAAUAGCAGUUCCGCAGAGUUGAGCAUUAGAAAACAGCUGGUCUUUUGCAAGGCCCAGUUUGAGGCAGACCAUACAAGCUGCUAGAAUACCCUGGCCACAGUGUUAAGACAAAACUGAAAGAAACACAAACUGAAAGAGAUUUGAAUGAGGAAAUACACCCACACUUACAUGCUAACAGCUAAUAGGGGACUUUACUUUGAAGCUAGCCAAGGUUGCUUGACAGAAGGCUGAGAAAAGAUGAGGCUGCUGAGUGAAGCCAGAGAGAUUAUGCUCAAAGUCAAGUAGAUACCAUACAAUAAGCUUUUCCAAGGUCUAUCAUCUUGGGAGGAAAAACAAACCAAACCAAAACCCUUAUAUUGCUGUCUUCCCACUGGUCAGCAGACUUUCAGUAACUCUGCCUUGCUGUAAGGUGCAUCACAGUGUUGUGCAUUAGAGCAGUGUGGGCCACACAGGCAACUGGCAUGUUUCAAACUUCCACAGAUUUCUUGGCUUCAUUAUCAGGAGAAGUAUGCGAUCCCAUAGGUAAUGUUCAGUAAGAGAUGUAUCUGUCCUGCCCCGUCUCAGACUGAUCACGUUCUGCCCUCUGUCUCCUUGGCUGUAGGGCUCCUCUUCACUGGCUGUGAACUCCUUAAGUAAGGUUCCUGAUGUUCAUGUUUGUUCUCUAAGGUUGAGCACAGGGUCGGUCCCUGGAACAGAGCCGUUGCAUUGCAGUUGAACUUCUAGUAGCCAAGGCAAACCUCUGGACCCUCUGUGGUAGCACCAGGAUCCACCAACAGGCAACACAAGCUGAGGCCCGGAGGCUUCUGUGGGACCAUGUAUGAUUCCACUUCAUCUCCUGCAACCCUGUUGCUCUCCAAUAUGGCAAGAGGAGCAUUGGGUCUUCCUCCUUUGUUAAGACAUUUAUACCAGUUGAGCAAGAAGUCGGUGCUAGAGCGGCAGCAGCCGGUUUGGAGCGCAGUCUCUUCCUCAUGGAACCCUGGCCGGAUCACUGGUCUUCACCACCACUGUAAACUUCUAAAUUCCCUCUUGUUAAACAAAUUAGAGUGGGUUCAAGGUUAUAUUUUGAUAUUAAUAGUUUUACCCUCAUCGCCCCGUGAUCAAAGAGAAAAGGGUAAGGGGACAACUAUCAGCUGGAACUGUAGUACACUUUCCUUCUCUUACAGACCUAGUGCUUCCAAUGCGCCCUGGCUGUCUCUCCACACUCUCAAGGUCUUCUUCACUCAUCUUCUUGGCUGUGUGGAUCUGAAAACACACAGCGUUUGUCCGUAAUCUCAUCCUCAUCCACACUGACUGUGGAUAACCGGAUGUGUUUUGUGAGGCCCCUCAGUCUCAACAUGGUUUUACAGACUCGGUCCUAAGCAGGUAUCACAUUCUUACUGACCCACAGCUGCUGUGCUACUUAGGUUUGUGUCUGUUGGAAUUCCAGGGCAAAUAUUUAUAAUUAUAUCAGCUCAGAGAGUACUUCUUCUGCAUACUUCUGAGUUCAGAACCUCAGACUUUUUUCUUAAAGCUACUCAGCGUCUCACUCAGCCAGAGGAGAAGAGACCUGUCCGCUUUAGCUCUCCACUCUUUGUAGUUCAACAGCAGCCUGGUUUAGGCCGGGACAAGGGUGAAGGUGGUGGAGGUGGUGGUGAUGUAUUGAUGAUAAAGAGAACAAUAAUAUCUAUGAGAAUUUUAUUACCCCCAUUUUACAGAUAAAACAACUAAGCUUCACAGAGGUGAGGUAACUUCCUCUGCCAUCCAGGUAGGACUUAACAGAAGGUGGGGUUUACAUCUGGUUCCACGUGAUUCUCCACUCAUCCGCACUCCACCACUCCCCAGGUGGAUGGUCAGGGUCAGGAGCCUCGUGAGUGAGAACAACAGGUCUGUCGAGUUCUGCAGGGCUGAGCUGUUUAUCAUUGCGGAGGACACUCAUCACUGUGCUAAUUACAUUAAUUGCUGCCCACUCUGAGGCUAGCUCCUUCCUGCAAUGGCCCAAGACUGUAAUUACAGGUUGGAUUGGUUGGAAGUUGGUUGCUCUCUACCAUGUAGGGGAAAGGUCAAGACUAUGAACAUUGCUCUUCAUCAGACGCCUUACUGGAAGCAGAGAGGAAGGAUGAGGGUUCCUGUGGUAAUCUCAUGAUUCUCUAGAAGCAGGUGCUCUCCUACCCUCAUUCUGUUUGAGGGAGCCUGGUCAGCUGCUUGGAGUCCAAGAGCUAGCGGGAGAGGAGACAGUCUGAAAGCAGGAACCAUCAGAAGUCAUCCUUAGUGCCCAUAACAUAGUACCCCUCACCAGGACACUGCUCUGUCUGACACUGAAGUAUUGGCAGGGUCGGGCAAGGUGCCAACAAGUGGGUUUUGUCUAUCCCUAAAUGAUGACUGCUUGAGAUCUCACCUGCUCUGCCUUCCUUCCUGAGAUUCCAAGAGAAAUUGCUUGGAAGUGUAUUAAAUGCAAACUAAGUCAGAUGUAAGCCAUGGUGUUUUUCUGUUUGAUCUGUUAAGAGGUAAUUUGGAGACUACUUCUGCAUACUUGUUGAACAG
rnacentral:lncRNA from 1 species